rnacentral:rRNA from 1 species
GAAUUUUGGACAAUGGGCGCAAGCCUGAUCCAGCCAUGCCGCGUGCGGGAAGAAGGCCUUCGGGUUGUAAACCGCUUUUGUCAGGGAAGAAACGCUCUUGGUUAAUACCCGGGAGUAAUGACGGUACCUGAAGAAUAAGCACCGGCUAACUACGUGCCAGCCGCCGCGGUAAUACGUAGGGUGCAAGCGUUAAUCGGAAUUACUGGGCGUAAAGCGGGCGCAGGCGGCUUUGCAAGACAGAUGUGAAAUCCCCGGGCUCAACCUGGGAACUGCAUUUGUGACUGCAAAGCUAGAGUGCGGCAGAGGGGGAUGGAAUUCCGCGUGUAGCAGUGAAAUGCGUAGAUAUGCGGAGGAACACCGAUGGCGAAGGCAAUCCCCUGGGCCUGCACUGACGCUCAUGCACGAAAGCGUGGGGAGCAAACAGG